GAUGAACGCUAGCGGCAGGCCUAACACAUGCAAGUCGAGGGAGAAGCCCUUUCGGGGGCAGAAACCGGCGCACGGGUGCGUAACGCGUAUGCAACCUACCUUUCACAGGGGGAUAGCCCGAAGAAAUUUGGAUUAAUACCCCAUAAUAUUAUUGGAUGGCAUCAUUUGAUAAUUAAAACUGCGGUGGUGAAAGAUGGGCAUGCGUCCUAUUAGCUAGUUGGAGUGGUAACGGCACCCCAAGGCUACGAUAGGUAGGGGUCCUGAGAGGGAGAUCCCCCACACUGGUACUGAGACAGGGACCAGACUCCUACGGGAGGCAGCAGUGAGGAAUAUUGGUCAAUGGUCGGAGGACUGAACCAGCCAUGCCGCGUGCAGGAAGAAUGCCUUAUGGGUUGUAAACUGCUUUUAUAUGGGAAGAAUAAGGCGUACGUGUACGUUGAUGACGGUACCAUAUGAAUAAGCAUCGGCUAACUCCGUG
rnacentral:rRNA from 1 species